AUUGAACGCUGGCGGCAGGCCUAACACAUGCAAGUCGAACGCGUGGCGGACGGGUGAGUCCUGUCUGGGAAACUGCCUUAUGGAGGGGGAUCACUACUGGAAACGGUGGCUAAUACCGCAUCCCAUCGGAUGUGCCCAGAUUGGAUUAGCUAGUAGGGGGGGUACCGGCUCACCUAGGCGACGAUCCCUAGCUGGUCUGAGAGGAUGACCAGCCACACGGGAACUGAGACACGGUCCAGACUCCGACGGGAGGCAGCAGUGGGGAAUAUUGCACAAUGGGCGCAAGCCUGAUGCAGCCAUGCCGCGUGUAUGAAGAAGGCCUUCGGGUUGUAAAGUACGUUCAGCGGGGAGGCGGUACCCGCAGAAGAAGCACCGGCUAACUCCGUGCCAGCAGCCGCGGUAAUAC
rnacentral:rRNA from 1 species